rnacentral:rRNA from 1 species
UACGUAGGGAGCAAGCGCUGUUCGGAUUUACUGGGCGUAAAGGGCGCGUAGGCGGCAAUUCAAGUCAUCUGUGAAAUCUCCGGGCUUAACUCGGAACGGUCAGAUGAUACUGUUUUGCUAGAGUGCAGAAGGGGCAAUCGGAAUUCUUGGUGUAGCGGUGAAAUGCGUAGAUAUCAAGAGGAACACCUGAGGUGAAGACGGGUUGCUGGGCUGACACUGACGCUGAGGCGCGAAAGCCAGGGGAGCAAACGGG